AUGCAAGUCGAACGGUAACAUUGGUGCUUGCACCAGAUGACGAGUGGCGCACGGGUGCGUAACGCGUAUGCAAUCUACCUUUUACUGAAGAAUAGCCCAGAGAAAUUUGGAAUAAUCCUUCAUAAUAUCAUUUAUCAGCAUUGAUUUAUGAUUAAAGCUCCGGCGGUAAAAGAUGAGCAUGCGUCCUAUUAGUUUGUUGGUGAGGUAACGGCUCACCAAGACUACGAUAGGUAGGGGCCCUGAGAGGGGGAUCCCCCACACUGGUACUGAGACACGGACCAGACUCCUACGGGAGGCAGCAGUGAGGAAUAUUGGACAAUGGAGGCAACUCUGAUCCAGCCAUGCCGCGUGCAGGAUGACUGCCCUAUGGGUUGUAAACUGCUUUUAUAUAGGAAGAAACACUCCCACGUGUGGGGGCUUGACGGUACUAUAUGAAUAAGGAUCGGCUAACUCCGUGCCAGCAGCCGCGGUAAUACGGAGGAUCCAAGCGUUAUCCGGAAUCAUUGGGUUUAAAGGGUCCGCAGGCGGCCUGUUAAGUCAGAGGUGAAAGCCAACAGCUCAACUGUUGAACUGCCUUUGAUACUGAUAGGCUUGAGUUAUUGUGAAGUGGUUAGAAUGUGUGGUGUAGCGGUGAAAUGCUUAGAUAUCACACAGAAUACCCAUUGCGAAGGCAGAUCACUAACAAUAUACUGACGCUCAUGGACGAAAGCGUGGGGAGCGAACGGGAUUAGAUACCCCGGUAGUCCACGCCGUAAACGAUGGAUACUAACUGUUCGACCUUCGGGUUGAGUGGUCAAGCGAAAGUGAUAAGUAUCCCACCUGGGGA
rnacentral:rRNA from 1 species